UCUUAAGUGCGAAUUUUUGAUUUUGGAUUGUGUUUGUAUCUGUGACGUGACUGAGGGUCUGACUUAUGUCAGGAAUGCAGUAGCAGUGACUUACUCAUUUAGCCCGGCGACCAGAGCAAACAUAAUGUUAAGUGUGUAGGGAAAAUAUAACCAGUAGUAAUGAAUUUUUAUGCUUUAGUGAUCAAUGAAUGGUAAAAAGGGGGAAAUUGUGGUGGAAAAAUUCAUUUCACAUUGCUUCUGUAUACCCAUAUAUGCAUGUGUUUUUCUUUGAAUUACGUGUGGGUUCAGAAGGAUGACACCUGGGGGGAAAACAGAUGUCUGAGCAUGACCUGAGAGGGUCAUUGGGCCAUAUAGUGGGGGGACAAUGCCUGAGGAUGACCUGAGGGGGUCACCUAAGUCCUAAAUGUGUGAGAAACUACCCAUAGAGAGUGUUCCUUGUUAUGUGUGGAAAUUUACAGCUGCUAAGACUUUGUAACCUUGAGGCAGCAAAGGGAUAUAAGGUGGAGGACUGCCCUCUUCCUGGGUCGGUUUCACUCUGCAGGAACUCAGUGUUGCUGUAUGACUGUCUGACCUUCUUUGCAAAGAAUAAAAGCUUUCUUUUUAAUUAUA